UGUAUAGGAAGGAAUUCUGGGGUGAUUAUUGCUGCUUCUACUUUCUGAAGUGAGAUAGAUUGUAAAGCAGGUGCAUCAAAGGCGGACGUCUCUAGAGUGCCAAAGAAGAAUGUAAAGCUGGGUUGUGCUGUUUCUCAGUCCUGUGUGGAACACUGGGCUGUUUCCAACCCUCUACAGAUUUCUUCCUGGAGUGGGCAACUUCAGCUGCUUCAGCAUGCCGCCAGGCAAGCCAAGAUUUUGGGCUCCUGAAAUUCUUGGAAUGAAGUUUUUAUUCAUAACCCAACCCAGUACAGAAGACUAGACAAACUUCCUCAAUUUGCACAGCUUAAGCAGGUUCCCUUAAAGUGUCACUUUACUUUUGUGUUGUAAAGUUGAAAGAUUUGCUUACGUUUAAAAUAUACACAUGGUGCUUUGCUUGUCUGUGUAAUACAAGUUUGUAGUAAACUUACUCUAAGUAAAUAGUUUCUG
rnacentral:lncRNA from 7 species